rnacentral:pre_miRNA from 1 species
UUUAGGCCCAGCUGUGUGAUCUUCACACAGCUGGGCCCUG